AGAGUUUGAUCCUGGCUCAGAACGAACGCUGGCGGCAUGCCUAACACAUGCAAGUCGAACGCUUUUGGGGUUUCGGCCUCAAGGGAGUGGCGCACGGGUGAGUAGCGCGUGGGAACCUGCCCUGUUGUGGGGGAUAACCGAGGGAAACUUCGGCUAAUACCGCAUGCGCCGGGAGCGAUCCCGGGAAAGAUUGAUCGCAGCAGGAGGGGCCCGCGUCGGAUUAGCCAGUUGGUGGGGUAACGGCCUACCAAGGCAGCGAUCCGUAGCUGGUCUGAGAGGAUGAUCAGCCACACUGGGACUGAGACACGGCCCAGACUCCUACGGGAGGCAGCAGUGGGGAAUAUUGGACAAUGGGCGCAAGCCUGAUCCAGCAAUGCCGCGUGAGUGAUGAAGGCCUUAGGGUUGUAAAGCUCUUUCGCCCGCGACGAUGAUGACGGUAGCGGGAGAAGAAGCCCCGGCUAACUUCGUGCCAGCAGCCGCGGUAAUACGAAGGGGGCGAGCGUUGUUCGGAUUUACUGGGCGUAAAGGGCGCGUAGGCGGCGCUUCAAGUCGCGUGUGAAAGCCCCGGGCUCAACCUGGGAGGUGCGCGCGAGACUGUGGUGCUGGAGUUCGGGAGAGGAGCGUGGAAUUCCCAGUGUAGAGGUGAAAUUCGUAGAUAUUGGGAAGAACACCGGUGGCGAAGGCGGCGCUCUGGACCGAGACUGACGCUGAGGCGCGAAGGCGUGGGGAGCAAACAGGAUUAGAUACCCCUGUAGUCC
rnacentral:rRNA from 1 species